rnacentral:rRNA from 1 species
CAGCAGCCGCGGUAAUACAGAGGGUGCAAGCGUUAAUCGGAAUUACUGGGCGUAAAGCGCGCGUAGGUGGUUUGUUAAGUUGGAUGUGAAAGCCCCGGGCUCAACCUGGGAACUGCAUCCAAAACUGGCAAGCUAGAGUACGGUAGAGGGUGGUGGAAUUUCCUGUGUAGCGGUGAAAUGCGUAGAUAUAGGAAGGAACACCAGUGGCGAAGGCGACAACCUGGACUGAUACUGACACUGAGGUGCGAAAGCGUGGGGAGCAAACAGGAUUAGAUACCCCCGUAGUCCCUGUCUCUUAUAC